UGUAAGGAACUAGAGGACUAAGAAGUCU
rnacentral:piRNA from 1 species